rnacentral:rRNA from 2 species
CCACACGACUCUCGGCAACGGAUAUCUCGGCUCUCGCAUCGAUGAAGAACGUAGCGAAAUGCGAUACCUGGUGUGAAUUGCAGAAUCCCGUGAACCAUCGAGUCUUUGAACGCAAGUUGCGCCCGAGGCCAUCCGGCCGAGGGCACGCCUGCCUGGGCGUCAC